GCUCAGGAUGAACGCUGGCGGCGUGCUUAACACAUGCAAGUCGAACGGUGAAGCCCAGCUUGCUGGGUGGAUCAGUGGCGAACGGGUGAGUAACACGUGAGCAAUCUGCCCCUGACUCUGGGAUAAGCGCUGGAAACGGCGUCUAAUACUGGAUACGAACCGUGGAGGCAUCUUCAACGGUUGGAAAGAUUUUUUGGUCAGGGAUGAGCUCGCGGCCUAUCAGCUUGUUGGUGAGGUAAUGGCUCACCAAGGCGUCGACGGGUAGCCGGCCUGAGAGGGUGACCGGCCACACUGGGACUGAGACACGGCCCAGACUCCUACGGGAGGCAGCAGUGGGGAAUAUUGCACAAUGGGCGCAAGCCUGAUGCAGCAACGCCGCGUGAGGGAUGACGGCCUUCGGGUUGUAAACCUCUUUUAGCAGGGAAGAAGCGAAAGUGACGGUACCUGCAGAAAAAGCGCCGGCUAACUACGUGCCAGCAGCCGCGGUAAUACGUAGGGCGCAAGCGUUAUCCGGAAUUAUUGGGCGUAAAGAGCUCGUAGGCGGUUUGUCGCGUCUGCUGUGAAAUCCCGAGGCUCAACCUCGGGUCUGCAGUGGGUACGGGCAGACUAGAGUGCGGUAGGGGAGAUUGGAAUUCCUGGUGUAGCGGUGGAAUGCGCAGAUAUCAGGAGGAACACCGAUGGCGAAGGCAGAUCUCUGGGCCGUAACUGACGCUGAGGAGCGAAAGGGUGGGGAGCAAACAGGCUUAGAUACCCUGGUAGUCCACCCCGUAAACGUUGGGAACUAGUUGUGGGGUCCAUUCCACGGAUUCCGUGACGCAGCUAACGCAUUAAGUUCCCCGCCUGGGGAGUACGGCCGCAAGGCUAAAACUCAAAGGAAUUGACGGGGACCCGCACAAGCGGCGGAGCAUGCGGAUUAAUUCGAUGCAACGCGAAGAACCUUACCAAGGCUUGACAUAUACGAGAACGCUGCAGAAAUGUAGAACUCUUUGGACACUCGUAAACAGGUGGUGCAUGGUUGUCGUCAGCUCGUGUCGUGAGAUGUUGGGUUAAGUCCCGCAACGAGCGCAACCCUCGUUCUAUGUUGCCAGCACGUAAUGGUGGGAACUCAUGGGAUACUGCCGGGGUCAACUCGGAGGAAGGUGGGGAUGACGUCAAAUCAUCAUGCCCCUUAUGUCUUGGGCUUCACGCAUGCUACAAUGGCCGGUACAAAGGGCUGCAAUACCGUAAGGUGGAGCGAAUCCCAAAAAGCCGGUCCCAGUUCGGAUUGAGGUCUGCAACUCGACCUCAUGAAGUCGGAGUCGCUAGUAAUCGCAGAUCAGCAACGCUGCGGUGAAUACGUUCCCGGGUCUUGUACACACCGCCCGUCAAGUCAUGAAAGUCGGUAACACCUGAAGCCGGUGGCCCAACCCUUGUGGAGGGAGCCGUCGAAGGUGGGAUCGGUAUUAGGAUAAUCGAC
rnacentral:rRNA from 1 species